rnacentral:rRNA from 1 species
CCUACGGGUGGCUGCAGUGGGGAAUAUUGCACAAUGGGCGCAAGCCUGAUGCAGCCAUGCCGCGUGUGUGAAGAAGGCCUUCGGGUUGUAAAGCACUUUCAGCGGGGAGGAAGGCGUUAAGGUUAAUAACCUUGGCGAUUGACGUUACCCGCAGAAGAAGCACCGGCUAACUCCGUGCCAGCAGCCGCGGUAAUACGGAGGGUGCAAGUGUUAAUCGGAACUACUGGGCGUAAAGCGCACGCAGGCGGUCUGUCAAGUCGGAUGUGAAAUCCCCGGGCUCAACCUGGGAACUGCAUUCGAAACUGGCAGGCUAGAGUCUUGUAGAGGGGGGUAGAAUUCCAGGUGUAGCGGUGAAAUGCGUAGAGAUCUGGAGGAAUACCGGUGGCGAAGGCGGCCCCCUGGACAAAGACUGACGCUCAGGUGCGAAAGCGUGGGGAGCAAACAGGAUUAGAUACCCCGGUAGUC